rnacentral:lncRNA from 1 species
GUUUGGUGGUGGUGAGUGUGUUAGUUUACCUUUGGGUUUCGGGUUUAAGCCCUCAUGUGUGUUUUGAGGAAUUAAAUUAUUUUGGUUUUUCUUUUUAAUUUUUAAAGAUUUACUUUUAAAAUUUGAAAGAGGAGUUUUUUUUUUAGUUUCACGUUCUUUUCCUUUUCUUUUUCCUUAUUCUUUCUUUUUUUCCCUCUGUUAUUUUUCGAUUUUUUCCCCAAAUUUUACUUCUUUUAAAUUCUUGUUUCUUCCGUUUUACACUCACGUUACAUGUUGUCUAUUAAGACAGAUCGUCCU